rnacentral:rRNA from 1 species
AACGAGCGAGACCCACGCCAACAGUUGCCAGCAUGGUCCUCCGGGGAUGGUGGGGACGACUGUUGGGACCGCCGUCUGCUAAAGAGGAGGAAGGGAUGGGCAACGGUAGGUCAGCAUGCCCCGAAUUAUCCGGGCUACACGCGGGCUACAAUGGUCAGGACAAUGGGCAUCAACACCGAAAGGUGAAGGCAAUCUCUUAAACCUGUCCUUAGUUCGGAUUGUGGGCUGCAACUCGCCCACAUGAAGCUGGAAUCUGUAGUAAUCGCGUCUCAAAAUGGCGCGGUGAAUAUGUCCCUGCUCCUU